GGCUCACGCCGCCCCCGGCUGCAGAAGCCCGGGCCGGGGCAGCGCAGGCGACAGCACCGCGGAGAAAACCCUUCAAGCAGAAUGUGUGUCUUGCUACUUAUGAAAACCCCUUGUUUAAAAUCCCGUUGAUGAAAGCUGCAGCUCCUGGCUUUUACUGCAUCGAACUUGGGCCACAAUCCCAUCAUCAGUAAUGCUGCAGGAUCAGUGAUUCAAACAGAGAGGCAAAGCUUCCAGAAGAUGCCUUUGGGGUGUUCAAGCAGGUUCAGAGAAGAUGGAGAGGGACAAGAUUCUGCAGUUGCUAAGCCCAACAGGCACCGACAAAAGGAGCAGGUGCUGAAAACUGUCCCAAGAGUUCCAGGAGAAUACACAGCCAAGAAUAGGUUUCAGGGCAAUGAAGUGGUUUAGAAAUCAUAUAACUACUUUAAAAAGAAAAUUACUUUGGCAUUUACCUCUGCUAUUUCUUCUGUGAAAACUGGGCUUUCAAGUACUGUGGGAUGAAAUAAAACUUCAGAUGAUUGUGUCAUCCGUGUCCUAAAUCUUACAUAUUUUACAAUCUUACAAAUCUUACAAUCUCUGAUGUCCAGCUUUUACUUCUGGCAUUUCCAUUAUGAAUGAAAAACAAACAUUAAGCCUUGAAAUUGUAGUUCCGAUCCUCCAGCCAAUUUUUUGCCAGCACUGGAAUUCUGCAUAAUUGCAGGUCAGAGGAAUUAAGAAGUAGAUUGCCCUACUCUUCAGUCCACAA